rnacentral:lncRNA from 1 species
GCUACAUCCAAGACGCCAAGACCAGACCAACUGCCUGGAAAAAGCAGAAUCAGCCAAGCUGCCUAGAAGAGGUGUAGACCAACUGAGUCACCAGGAAAAGACAUUCACCAACCUGUUGAGCUGUGGGCAGAUGUAAUACCUGUCCCUGGACUUCUGUCUUUAGAACAUAAGCUGACAGUAAACAGUGCUCAUUUCUGCAUAUGGUGGGCUGUGACUUGCCCUGGAGACCCUGAGAUGUGGCAAGCGUGCAGGAAUGAUGACGAGCAGAAACCAUGCCUUCAUCCAGCACCUGGUGGAAGUAGAAGCAGAUACCCACAACUAAUCACUCAACUGAACUGGAAUCCAGUUGCAGAGAAGGAGAAGUGAUGAGCAAAGGGGUCCAGACCAGGCUGGUGAAACCCACAGAAACAGCUGACCUGAACAUCGGGGAACUCUUGCUCCCCAGAUUGAUAGCUGGGAAACCAGCAUGGGACUGUUCCAGACCCCAUAAACAUGGGUGUCAGUGAGGAGACCUCAGAAAUCUAUGGGGCCUCUUGUAGUAGAUCAGUA